rnacentral:rRNA from 1 species
GACGAACGCUGGCGGCGUGCUUAACACAUGCAAGUCGAACGGAAAGGCCCUGCUCUUGUGGGGUGCUCGAGUGGCGAACGGGUGAGUAACACGCGAGUAACCUGCCCCUGACUUUGGGAUAACUUCAGGAAACUGGGGCUAAUACCGGAUAGGAGCUCCUGCUGCAUGGUGGGGGUUGGAAAGUUUCGGCGGUGGGGGCUGGACUCGCAGCUUAUCAGCUUGUUGGUGGGGUAGUGGCUUACCAAGGUUUCGACGGGUAGCCGGCCUGAGAGGGUGACCGGCCACAUUGGGACUGAGGUACGGACCAGACUCGUACGGGAGGCAGCAGUGGGAAGUAUUGCACAGUGGGCGGAAGCCUGAUGCAGCAGCGCCGCGUGCGUGAUGACGGCCUUCGGGUUGUAAACCGCUUUCGCCUGUGACGAAGCGUGAGUGACGGUAAUGGGUAAGGAAGCACCGGCUAACUACGUG